rnacentral:sRNA from 1 species
ACUCAACACUAAACAAUUCAAAUGGGUGAAUCUCCGCUCCUAAAGCACGCCGGCUUGUCCCGGAUCCUUGAACCGCGGGUUAACCCAAAUCUUGUCAUAACGAGUUU